AGUGUGUAACACUGUAACAUUAAAGAGUAGUUCUCUUGUCUGGGGAGAUCCUGCUGGGCAGUGCUGGGGCCAGGCCUGGGUUUCACUCUCCCUUGAAGGUUGUGAUGACCCAGUCUGCUGGCAGAAAAGCUCCAACAUGCUGGACAGGAAGGGCUUCCGGGAAGCUGCGUGCUGGCUAACUCUAGGCUGCGACACUCCUGAUAAUCCCAAAGCUACUGGAUGAGAGGGAGUUUCACACGGCCUGUCAAAUCCACGGGAGAUUGGAUUGCCGCCUGAUUGGGAUUCCGCUGUGUGGACAGAUCGCUGUGGAAGACUGUGGCGGUUCACAGCCUUUCCUCACAGAAGAGCAGGGCAUCUCUGUCUCCACUUGCUCAGAUCUUCUUUUAUGCCGCAGGAGAGUUUACAGCCAUCCACAGCAUGGGUUCUGUCUGCGUGUCUGUUGGAUUUAUUUUCCUUAGGGGGACUCAGCUUCUCUGGCCACUGUCAAUAGGCAGCUGCUUUUACAUGGUGGAUUUGUAGGCCUGCCCUGCCCUGACUGCAUCAGUAAGCUCUCUUGCAUUUUUCUUGCUCCCCACACCCUCUGCUUCUCUAGACCUCAUUGCAUUCUCAGUGAGCCACAAUAUCAUUUGAACCGGUACCUGCGGUUUUUUUUUUAAAAAAAAAAAAACUGUACUGACCUAGCUCCUUGUGAGGAGUAGAUGUGGGGUGUGGGUAUCCUCGUGUUGCUCCGACUUUAACAAGGUCCUCAGAUGCCACUCAGAGCACAGCUUUCUCUGUUCCUACUUCCUAAGGAAUCCCCAGGCAGGCUGGGGUGAGUUAUCAAAUGCUACUCGGGUGUGUCCUAAACCUCUGCCUUUUCUACCUGAAUGAAUUAUAGCAACGACCUCAGUGGAUUCCGAACAUCAGGUGCCCAUGUAGUAAUUUCUGUAGUCAUCCUCCUCCCUCAGGGUUCGGGCUCCUCCAAGCUGACCCUGCUUUCCCAAACUCAUCGUAUCUCCUUCCUACAAAUGGCUCAGCUUCCGCAGGUGGUCCCUGCUCUGCCCGUGGUGCCUGGGUGCCUUUCUGGUGUCCAGAUGUACACUUUCUACAAUGUGCACAUAUCCACUCACAAGAGUUCAUGGGUUUGAAAGUUUACCCAAGUGGCAAGGUAGCAGCAAUGGUGGCAGCUUCCUUUUUUUUUUUUUUCAUGCAACAUCCAACUUUCUUAGUGUGGCGGUUGAUGGCAAUCCAGCUAGCUUUAGCUGACUGGGUCAAGAAGGCAUGGCGUCUCAUCCCUUCUCAGGGAUGGGACUCUCAGCUUGUCUCUUCUGCCUGACUGGCAGCAAUGUCUGAUGCCCUGCUGCCUUGUUUGCCACCUGGAGUCUGAGAGUGCAGGCCCUCAGGACAACACCCUCUGGCUGGGAGGGCAGCCUUGGACCCUUGGGGUUCGUGUGGACAGAGCUCCGAACAGUUCUUGGCAGGUGACAGGUGCUUGGUGAACCCAACCCGCGAGCGCACUGAACGAUCAUGAUUAAGAAGCGAGCGGGCUGUCUCGAUGGUAAUGUCAAUUUACCCUCCAGCCAGAACUUCUCAGAGCUUCCGGUUCCACGGAUUCACAGCAGCACUUGGGAACCCACGUAUCUCACACCACCGCCAUGUGUGCUGACAGCCUUGUUCUGGCUCUCCC